CCACUUUUCCGGGCGGAGACAGGACCUAGUAAACUGUAAUAAUUCAAUCUAUACACCAAUCCAAACCAAAAGAAUCAUCAAGUAGUCCUUUUUUUUCUUCUGUAUAAAAAUGACCCAAAGAAUAAAAGUUGGCAACAACAACACUUGUGUGGACGGUCGCUAUGAAGAAUGGUUGCAACAGGCAAGGACAAAGUUGUCCAUGAAAUGGUUGAGCUCAGCUGUAUAAAGCUGUGGGUUACUCCUGAAAUGGUCUACAUGAGGUGAAGAUAUGAAGUUGCAGGCACGGACCUCGUGUCCUGCUUUCCUCUGUUCUACAAUGAAUGACUCAACUUGCCCCGCGGGUAUAACUCUAUCCGCAGAGCUGUAAAUGUACAACUGUGGACAUCUUGGUUGUGAUGAUGAUAAAGUCUCUAGAACAUUAGCUAGUCUCCUGUAACAGCACGAGUUUGUUUGGUUAGUGUGAAACAUUGCAUUUGCGUGAUGAAAGGCGCCUUUUUGUGUGUGAGAGAGCUCGUUUGUCGUCACAUGUUCAGUCGUCCUCCGCUGAAGUAGAGAGGUGCCGUCGUCACACAUUCAAACGCAACUUUCUUGUCUUAUUCUUCCCCUUCCUCCUCCACAUCUCCUUUUCACUGACACAGAACAAGCAAUUAUGAAAUAGUUUUCAGACCAAAACUUCGUGUCUUAUGGUACCAAAAAGAUGUCGUCAUCAACUCAUCUUCUACAAAUCAAAAUCAAAGGAAAACAUUGAGGAUUAAAGACAAACCUGGUGCUAACUUGACGUUUCUAUGUCGUAGUGAGCGCAAGGGAUCGAGCUCAGAGAUAGAUUGGGAGGUAGAGUUGGUUUGGUCAAAGAAACAAGCUCUUAAAAAUUACCGAGAGAAAGACCUAUGAAUUUCUGAGGUUUGUGAUAUUAUUAUUGAGAAAGUAAAAAAAACACAGAGAAAAACAAAAUUUUCCAGAGAAAUGUUGAGUUAGGAAGAAGGAGAGAGUUUGAAAUUAGAAUUAGGGGAUUUGGAAAAGUAAAAGUAGAUUUGAGAUUUGAAAUCAUAAUUGGAGAGAGAUAUGGAAUUAGGGUUGAGAAUUUGUGAAAGAGAAAGUGGAUCUGCGUUUUGAAGGAGAGAGGAGAGAGGAGAGAGGAGAGAUGAGAGAGUAGAGAUGAAAGAAUAUAAUCAUGGUUAGUUGUCUCUGGUUAGGUUAGUCUGGUCUGGUCAAAAUUGGGGGUAUGAAAGACAUUCGACAGGCAUAAUGUGUCUAGCCAGUGAAAAGUGUCUAAAGGUGUAGACAUAAGACGAAAAGUGUUUAUAGAGUAAAAAAAUCUUAUUGUAUUUGCUUAAAUUUAUGCUUACUAAUUUAUUCUUAACCAAUUUCAGGUCAUUUCUUUCUGAUGAACCUCAGCACAACUUCUGAUCUACAAAAAACUUAAUCUGUUUCUUACAUUAUUUAUUAUGUUUACUUAGCUACUCUUUUAGCUUUAAAACAAUUGCGUAAACUCGAUAUUCACCAAUUUUCAAACAUUUUGGAAAAAAAAUUCUUCCAUUCCAACCAAAAAAACAUCGAAACAUAUAAUAAAAAAUUGACUAUAAACCCACUUUUCCGGGCGGAGACAGGACCUAGUAAACUGUAAUAAUUCAAUCUAUACACCAAUCCAAACCAAAAGAAUCAUCAAGUAGUCCUUUUUUUUCUUCUGUAUAAAAAUGACCCAAAGAAUAAAAGUUGGCAACAACAACACUUGUGUGGACGGUCGCUAUGAAGAAUGGUUGCAACAGGCAAGGACAAAGUUGUCCAUGAAAUGGUUGAGCUCAGCUGUAUAAAGCUGUGGGUUACUCCUGAAAUGGUCUACAUGAGGUGAAGAUAUGAAGUUGCAGGCACGGACCUCGUGUCCUGCUUUCCUCUGUUCUACAAUGAAUGACUCAACUUGCCCCGCGGGUAUAACUCUAUCCGCAGAGCUGUAAAUGUACAACUGUGGACAUCUUGGUUGUGAUGAUGAUAAAGUCUCUAGAACAUUAG
rnacentral:lncRNA from 1 species